UAAUACGGAGGGUGCGAGCGUUGUCCGGAAUCACUGGGCGUAAAGGGCGCGUAGGCGGCCCGACAAGCGUGGGGUGAAAGUCCGGGGCUCAACCCCGGAUCGGCCCUGCGAACUGUCGGGCUGGAGCACUGUAGGGGCGGGUGGAAUUCCGGGUGUAGCGGUGGAAUGCGUAGAGAUCCGGAAGAACACCGGUGGCGAAGGCGGCCCGCUGGGCAGUGGCUGACGCUGAGGCGCGACAGCGUGGGGAGCAAACAGGAUUAGAUACCCUGGUAGUCCACGCCGUAAACGAUGGGCACUAGGUGCUUGGGGGAGCGACCCCCCGAGUGCCGUCGCUAACGCAUUAAGUGCCCCGCCUGGGGAGUACGGCCGCAAGGCUG
rnacentral:rRNA from 1 species